AAGUGAGCUGUCAGCAUUCAUAUCUAUAUUGUUAGCACAUGGAUCAGCUUAUAGAUUGUAUAGGAACAAGUAUAAGGGGAUGCAGAAUGGGUUUGUUGGGUUUAAUAUCCUUACUGUUGGUCUUGCUCCACAAACAAAUAGUAGUGAAGAUAUCACUGCUACACAAAGAGUUCAAGAUUUCUAUCAUGGGUGGUAUCUACAUCCUUUUAUAUUUGGGGACUA